CGCGACUGUACCCGCGGCCCCGAGCUCCUGCCGAGGAGCACCCGGGUCCCAGCGGCCGACCAGGCGGCGAGGCGCGGGCUCCGGCCCCUAGAAGACUAUGGUCCCUGGCCCUGUGCCUGCUGGGUUCAGUGAAGUCCACCAGUGAGCAUGGUAUUUCUGCUGGAAAACAAAGAACUGAUGUAACAGGAGCUAGGACAGAGCGUUCCAUUGCAGGAUCAGACUGUGUUCUCCACCAGCCGGGAAUGGGUGGACCAAGGAGGACCAGCCAGGCGGCCAUGAUCCCCCAGAGACACAGGCGAGCUUCCACUGCCCCACACCAGGCCCCCAGGCCCUCUCCCCUGUGCCCUGCUCCCAAGUUGCUCUGUGCCACCUUCAAUCAAGAUGUCACUCCCAGGGAUGUUUUGACGGAGACGAGA